rnacentral:tRNA from 1 species
GAAAGUAUAGCUCAGUGGUAGAGUGUGUGCUUAGCAUGCACAGGGUCCUGGGUUCAAUCCCUAGUGCCUCUA